AGAGGGCCAUCUGGCUGCAGCAUCUGUCACCCCAUUCAUGGCCAGGGUUGAUUUGACUGCUCUGACUGGCUAGGCGGGUGUCCCCUUCCUCCCUCACCGCUCCAUGUGCAUCUCUCCCGAAGUUGCACACUCAGUCGAAGAGGACAACCUUCCCCCAAUAGAGGCAGACCAGUCUUCGGUCAAGGGUAUACAAGUAGCUGCGCUCUCCUGCUAGAACCUCCAAACAAGCUCUCAACGUCCAUUUUUAAAAUAUUUUGCCAGCAUGUUUUGAUUCUAU
ensembl:misc_RNA 7SK 7SK RNA